rnacentral:rRNA from 1 species
AUGUGUUGUUUGGAUUAUUUUUUUCUUUUUGUGCAGACGCUGGAUCUACCGGAUUAUCUAAUACCAAGACUAAAGAUGCAAUUCAAAGAUGUAGAGAAAGCAAGGGAAUUUUAUAAGAGAUACGUCAGACACGCUGGUUUUGGAAUCAGGAAGAUGGGGGGAAAUGACAACCACAAGUAUUUUGUUUGCGCCUUCCAAGGGAUACACACAUCUUCUGUUUUAGAGGCCAACAGGAAGCGAAACAAAACAUCACAAAGGACGGGCUGCAAUGCAAGAAUGAGGGUGAAGGUGCAGGAGGAUGACACAUGCGUGGUAGUGGACAUUGAGUACAAUCAUAAUCACCAACUCAUGCAAACUGAUGACAUGCUAGUAUUCUUGCACUCACACAAGAAUUAUGACCCCACUAUUUUGGAGUACGUAAAGCUCUUGCAGUACCAUGAUUUCAAGCACACAACAGUCAUGUCCAUGCUAUCUGAAAAUGAAGAUGGAAGGUAAUUCCUAAGCAUGACCGGAUGAGACCUACUAAAGCAGAAAGCCAUGAAUGCAAGGAAAGAUGAUUUGGAUGAUGUAUUGAAACUUGUUUCAUUCUUCAAAUACAUGAAGGCAAUCAAUGAUGAGUUUUUCUAUGACAUACAAGUGGACAAGGACAAGUCAAUUAAAAACAUUUUUUGGUCCAAUGCAAGCUGCCGAGGAGCCUGUCAAGACUUUGGCGAUUGCAUAACAUUCGACACAACUUACAAGACCAACAGAUUUCAUAUGCCUCUGGGAGUGUUUGUUGGAACAAAUCAUCACUUGCAGUCAAUGAUAUUUGUUGUUGCCCUAAUAAGAGAUGAAGAUGCAAAGUCAUUCAAGUGGUUGUUCGAUACAUUUGUACGGUGCAUGAACAACAAGCACCCAACUUGCAUUCUAACAGACCAAGGCCCAUCGAUGGAGAAAGCUAUACCACAAUCAUUUCCAAACACCGUCCACAAGCUAUGCCAUUGGCACAUCAUGAAGAAGUACAGGGAAUACCUCACGUUGCUGUACAAAAAGUAUAAAACAUUCAAAGAGGAGUUCACAGCUAUAUUAAACUGGCCGCUGAUGCCAACAGAGUUUGAAGAUGCCUGGAUUGAAUUCGUGCAAAAGUACAACCUGGAGAACGACCAGAUGAUGAUGCAGCUCUGGAGUGAUAGGAAGAUGUGGAUUUCAGCAUAUUACAAGAACAUUUUCUAUGCUAGAAUGACUUCCACACAAUGA